rnacentral:rRNA from 1 species
GAUGAACGCUAGCGGCAGGCUUAACACAUGCAAGUCGAGGGGUAUAGUUCUUCGGAACUAGAGACCGGCGCACGGGUGCGUAACGCGUAUGCAAUCUACCUUUUGCAGAGGGAUAGCCCAGAGAAAUUUGGAUUAAUACCUCAUAGUAUGUGAGAAUGGCAUCAUUUUCACAUUAAAGUCACAACGGCUAAAGAUGAGCAUGCGUCCCAUUAGCUAGAUGGUAAGGUAACGGCUUACCAUGGCGACGAUGGGUAGGGGUCCUGAGAGGGAGAUCCCCCACACUGGUACUG